UACGUAGGCAGCGAGCGUUGUUCGGAGUUACUGGGCGUAAAGAGUGCGUAGGCGGUUUUCUAAGUUUGGUGUGAAAUCCCUCGGCUUAACCGGGGAACUGCGUCUGAUACUGGAUGGCUUGAGGUUGGGAGAGGGAUGCGGAAUUCCAGGUGUAGCGGUGAAAUGCGUAGAUAUCUGGAGGAACACCGGUGGCGAAGGCGGCAUCCUGGACCAACACUGACACUGAGGAGCGAAAGCCAGGGGAGCAAACGGG
rnacentral:rRNA from 1 species